UACGGUGAGCAAUCGCUGCCUCCUUUUGGAGGUAGAGGAAAGUCGAGACACGCAUACCCUUUGGGUAUAAAAAGGUGCCCGGUGUAAGCCGGGGCAGGGCGACCUGACGACGGCAAAAGGAACUGUACGCAGUUUUGAGUAGCUGUAAAGUGCCACAGAAACUAUGUCACCGGGUGACCGGUGAGUGCAAGGGUAAACUCCGCCAGCGUGCAACCCAAAUAGGCAGUUUCUAACUGCGGGUAGGGGCAUCCCCAAAAGGGGAAGGGAUAAGUAUCCCUAGAUAGAUGAUUGCUUGAAAAAACAGAAUCUCGCUUACAGCC
rnacentral:RNase_P_RNA from 1 species